rnacentral:rRNA from 1 species
ACGAACGCUGGCGGCGUGCUUAACACAUGCAAGUCACGGGGGGUGGGGCAACCCAUCAACCGGCGAACGGGUGCGUAACACGUGAGCGACCUGCCCAGUUGCGGGGGAUAGCCGGCCCAACGGCCGGGUAAUACCGCAUACGCUUCCUUGGGGGCAUCCCUGGGGAAGGAAACCUACGGGGCGAUUGGAGGGGCUCGCGGCCUAUCAGCUAGUUGGCGAGGUAACGGCUCACCAAGGCGAUGACGGGUAGCUGGUCUGAGAGGAUGGCCAGCCACAUUGGGACUGAGAGACGGCCCAGACUCCUACGGGAGGCAGCAGUGGGGAAUCUUGCGCAAUGGCCGAAAGGCUGACGCAGCGACGCCGCGUGGAGGAUGACGCCCUUCGGGGUGUAAACUCCUGUUGCCCGGGACGAAUGCCUGUUUCGACAGGAGUGACGGUACCGGGUGAGGAAGCACCGGCUAACUCUGU